rnacentral:rRNA from 1 species
AACCGAGUCUUAAUUGGGCGUUAAGUUGCAGGGUAUAGACCCGAAACCCGGUGAUCUAGCCAUGGGCAGGUUGAAGGUUGGGUAACACUAACUGGAGGACCGAACCGACUAAUGUUGAAAAAUUAGCGGAUGACCUGUGGCUGGGGGUGAAAGGCCAAUCAAACCGGGAGAUAGCUGGUUCUCCCCGAAAGCUAUUUAGGUAGCGCCUCGUGAAUUCAUCUCCGGGGGUAGAGCACUGUUUCGGCUAGGGGGCCAUCCCGGCUUACCAACCCGAUGCAAACUGCGAAUACCGGAGAAUGUUAUCACGGGAGACACACGGCGGGUGCUAACGUCCGUCGUGAAGAGGGAAACAACCCAGACCGCCAGCUAAGGUCCCAAAGUCAUGGUUAAGUGGGAAACGAUGUGGGAAGGCCCAGACAGCCAGGAUGUUGGCUUAGAAGCAGCCAUCAUUUAAAGAAAGCGUAAUAGCUCACUGGUCGAGUCGGCCUGCGCGGAAGAUGUAACGGGGCUAAACCAUGCACCGAAGCUGCGGCAGCGACGCUGAUGCGUUGUUGGGUAGGGGAGCGUUCUGUAAGCCGUUGAAGGUGGCCUGUGAGGGUUGCUGGAGGUAUCAGAAGUGCGAAUGCUGACAUAAGUAACGAUAAAGCGGGUGAAAAGCCCGCUCGCCGGAAGACCAAGGGUUCCUGUCCAACGUUAAUCGGGGCAGGGUGAGUCGACCCCUAAGGCGAGGCCGAAAGGCGUAGUCGAUGGGAAACGGGUUAAUAUUCCCGUACUUGGUGUUACUGCGAAGGGGGGACGGAGAAGGCUAUGUUGGCCGGGCGACGGUUGUCCCGGUUUAAGCGUGUAGGUGUGUGUUCCAGGUAAAUCCGGUUCACUUUAACACUGAGGCGUGACGACGAGGCACUACGGUGCUGAAGCAACAAAUGCCCUGCUUCCAGGA